CAUGAUUGUACUUGUUCUCCCAAAAUCAGGAAUUAGUUGUGUGCCAGCACUACAGUAUUUGUAUGUUUUGCUAAUGGUGCAAUAUUGGCAAAAUGCAUCCAUUUACAGUCUGACACCCUUACUGAAUUCUGCCAACUUUGGAUUACUAAAUAAUUCAAUACUGCUUUCAUUUUAAGGUUUGUUUUGUCUGUACAAAAAAAACCCCUAGAAUUUCAAAGAGUGAGGCUGGGAGUUACUGAUUGGAAUAUAGAAUAUCUUUUCCACAGUUGCCAUAUUUAAUUCUCAUAGUAUACUGACCUUAUAAAGGAUUCCUUUUUAUUUUUAUUUUUUAGCUGUUUAUUUUAAAAAUUGUCUGUGAAUAUUGUUAACCUGAGAAAUUGGCAUCAUUCACAAAAAUCAAACUUUAAUGACAACCAUGUAACUUUGAUAUUUCUGAUUAAAAUUUAAUAGAAAAAUGUGUAACACUUAUAUGCAUGGUUAUAAUAUG